rnacentral:rRNA from 1 species
AUGGUUGUCGUCAGCUCGUGUCGUGAGAUGUUGGGUUAAGUCCCGCAACGAGCGCAACCUCGUUCUAUGUUGCCAGCACGUAAUGGUGGGAACUCAUGGGAUACUGCCGGGGUCAACUCGGAGGAAGGUGGGGAUGACGUCAAAUCAUCAUGCCCCUUAUGUCUUGGGCUUCACGCAUGCUACAAUGGCCGGUACAAAGGGCUGCAAUACCGUAAGGUGGAGCGAAUCCCAAAAAGCCGGUCCCAGUUCGGAUUGAGGUCUGCAACUCGACCUCAUGAAGUCGGAGUCGCUAGUAAUCGCAGAUCAGCAACGCUGCGGUGAAUACGUUCCCGGGUCUU